rnacentral:rRNA from 1 species
CGUAGGUGAACCAGCGGAGGGAUCAUUA